GUGUGAGGCGGCUGAUAGGAAAUGUGAAAAUAGCCAACCACAGUGCAACAUAACAUGCAGACUUCACUCACAUACUGCAUUAACAAAUGAUUGCACGGCUUUACCAAGCAGCAGACAUCAGAGGGAUGUCAUUUUGAAUUCAGCAGAUGAAUGGAUAACAAUGGGUUCCAAUCAGACUACGAGUACCACAUUUUUAGCCACAUUUUCAAUAAUGGUCGUGUUGUCCAUCCUGUGGUGUUUUAUUUUUUUAUUGGUAUUCAGUAUCUGCUUGUUUUUGUUGAAAAUCCCGCAGAACAAAAAACAAAAAUCACAAAUGGAAACUCCGGAAGAUGAGGUCACAGAUGCAGAUGUUUCUUUAAAUGAGGUCUCUGAAACGAGGAAGAAACGACAAAAAAAUAAAAGUUACAAAGAGAGGGUGAACUCAGUGUACUAUGAGUGGUUUAUGGAUCACUCACCACAGAGGAAUCCAAGAAAUUCAGCUCGUACAGCACAAUACUAAUUGUAAACUAAUGGAAUACUCUUUUAAAAGA